CCUGUAACUCCUCUGGGGGUUGCUGCCGGUCCCAAGCCCGGGUAAAGGAGGAGGGUUGG
rnacentral:ribozyme from 2 species